ensembl:lncRNA
GGUAGUAAUAAUCGCGCGCUCUGUGUUCGCUGGUCGUGCACGGUAAAACGACACAUUUUUUCUCAAUGUGAAGAAAUGAUGACAUAGGUAGCACAUGAGUGUUCCUUAACUUAUGUUGUCAGUGUAAUUGACAGGCUGCUUAACUGGUUAACUCUUAAAUUCAACAUAGUUCAGGCAGUGAGAGGACAGGCAGUGAUGCAGAGAGCACAGGGAGAGAAACACCAGGUCCAAUAGAGAGAGGAGAAGCACAGAGGAACGUGUUCUGGGGUUCAUGGCUCCUCUGUGCAAGGCAGGACCUGACGUGGAGGACAAGGAGGCCCUCUGGGCACUACUGUAAAAAGGAGACUCCAUAUGUAGAUAGUUCUUAAUGUGCAAUUGUGUUGUUGUGUUGUGUUGACAUACUUUUCUUUACUGUUUUCUUAAAUUUAAUAAACUACAAACUACUAACACAUGUAUUCAUUGUCAUUGAUUGUAUAUGACUUUUACUGAUAACAUAAUGCAAUAUAGCCAGGACAGCCUAACAGAGUCGCGACGCUUUGUGUUGCGUUGCUUCGCAUCACGUCGAGGUCUGUAUGAUCACAAAAUUCAGAGUUUACCCACCUCUAAUUUUACCACUACAGCACUGAGCACCAGUGUUUAGAACUGGAUGAGCCACCGGUACCAGCGAAGAGAGUGGAGGAGUGUAAAUAGUAAAAGUAAAGUACAUAAGAUACAAAGAAAGCAACAACGAGAAAUAAUGUGGAUGAAUGAACGGCAUCUGCCAACAUCCAUAAGUUGAUGCUUUUUUGUAUGUACCGCAUAUUCUCACCAAUGAAAUGAAAACUGAAGCAACUAAAUGGAAUGCAGCCAUUGAUAAAUUACAUUAUCAACACCUGAAUGUUGGAAUGAUUUAAAAUGGAAAAAAACAGAUUCUGGCCUGCGAACGUUUGACCAAUGAAAUAUUUAGUUCUAAGUGACGUCAUCCCUUGAAGUAUAAUUUCAGAGAGCGUGCUGCUGAAAAUGAUUAAAGAACGUGUCUUACUGUGGGUGCUAAGAUCUGUUCUGCUUUGAGUCUUUCCUUUUUUUUCUUUUGUUUUAUCAUUUAUUUAAGCAAUAAGGUACGAGAGGCUGUACUUUAUCGGCCAAUUUACUGAAAUAAAGUACUGCUUCAAGUACCUUAUUGCUUUUAUAAUACAGUUACCAGCAACAUUAUUAAUAGUAAGUAAAUAGCUGCCUUCAGCACAAAAUAGUUGCAGCCACCAAACAUGUAUCUCAUUUCAGUAGUCCAGAGAAAAAAAGUACAUGCAUGUAAACAGUAUUGGGUCUCCUUGCAAAUGUCAACUAAAGGCCGGCGCGUGUUUCUGCGUCUUUACGCGUCGACGCACUGGUUUCACUUCCUGGUUGUAAAGUCGUGCGUGUGUUGCAGAGCGAUUCACCUCCAGAACAACAGGUGGAGUCACGUGUUUUGUUGAAGACGACCUAGAGAGUCACGUCUUUGUGUGUGGAAGUCGCUGGUUGCUUUAUUUAUUGAUCAUAGACUUUAUUGCCCCGUGCAUCCACACUGCUGCUUUUCAUCACGGACACAUUUGUCCCGUAUUUUCCUCCACGACUUUGUUCCCCUCGUUGGUGGAGAUCUCCCUCCAUGAAUCAGAGGCCAUCCGGCGUCCUCAUAGUCCGCCAAUGACGGCUUGUACAAGCGCUCAUAUUUAAAAGCUCUUCAAUCUGAUCCGUUCUCUCGUCAACGUUCUUCCUUUUAAUAACGGCCGUAUUGUGCUGUGAAAACGGAGACGUGAGACUCCGUAAAGGACGUAGUCAGCGGACCAAUCACAGCCUGGUGCUGCAGGAGGCUGCGUCGCUUUAGACGCUGGUCGAGAAAAAUGGGUCGACGCACACAAGGAGGUGUGAAAAGACACGCAAGGGACACGCAAGGGACACGCAAGGGACUCUUGCGUUUCUCUGAAAACGCAGAAGCAUGAACUAGGCUUAACGGUCGCGCAAAAGCUAACCUGCUACUUUGAGUGCGCAGUGAUACGGAACGCUCGGGUCAAUGUGAACAGCAACUGUACAUCAUCGCUGAAUAAUCCACACCCCAUGACUCACUCUCAACCAAUCAGAACGCUGGAUGUCGUCUGCCCGUAUUAUUAUAUAAUAUAUAACUUUCUCCACACAUAAAACGUAUAAUAACUCUGGAACUUUGUCUAAUUGGACACAUUUUUCUGUGGGGAAAAAGGGGAACUCAUAUGCUAUGAUGUUUAAAAAUAAGUUAAUAUGUUACUGGUGAAUAUGUAUCAAUAUUACACACACAAAAAAGUUUGAAUUUUGAGAUUGCCGUCAAAAAGGUUGAAAGGUUGAAAAACAGCCCUAUAAAUGCUAUAAACAUGGAGAUAACAGGCUAAAACCACAUCUACAUAAUAGCCUUAAGUGUCAAGUUUCACUUUGAUAGAAUGAGGGAAAACUACUCUAGAGAAGGCUUUGGUUUCUCGACUAAUUAGCAUGGGGUAUCUUUACUCUUACUACAGUGGUUGAAGUUGUGUUUGCAUUAUUUUGCAUACGUAUAUUGUAGCAAGGAUCUAAUGCUCCCAACCAGGUGAAGCAUUUAUAUAUAUAGCCUCUUCAUAUAUAGGCCCGUGCACAGACACUGUGGGGGACAGGAGCUAAAACCACAACAAAAGACAAUGAAAUGAAAAAGAAUAUUACAUAAUUGAAUAAAAAACACAGUACAAUAUUUUUUCAGAUCUUAUAUUUAUUUCUGUUAAUAAACUAAUUAAAUUGAAUUAAUUAAUUAAUAUCAGGCAGACGAAACUAGGCCAUAAUGUAUAAACAAUCAUCAAAUGAUUAAAUAAUCAAAACUAUUUUAACUCAAAACUUAUCAAAACGGAGCUUCACAGGAGCAUCCUGACCAUCUCUUGGAAGAUGUUUACUGUUUUCUUUUACAGUUGAAGCAUGAGCAGCAUUACACCAAUAAUACACCACAAUAAUAAUAAUAAUAAUCACUGACUGUCAUGUAGCUCAUGUAACUUAAGACAUACCUUUCAUUUCAAUAAUUGUAUAUUAAAUAAAACUAGUGAACUUGUCUAAUUAGUAGAACAGUAUAACUGCCUUCUGUGUGUGUGUGUGUGUGUGUGUGUGUGUGUGUGUGUGUGUGUGUGGAAGGAGUGUUGAGCGUGAUUGUGAGCGUCUGAUAGUCCGUUCGUUAUUCCUUGCUGUUAAUGGGGUGUAUUAUACGUGUCGUGGGGCGCAGGGUUCGUGGUGUUCGUGCACAUUAAAGGUUUGGGUGAUUGUGGGUAGUUUGCGCUACACGACGACAUGGCGCUCACGGAGCUAACGAGGAAGCACGGCUUCAAAAUACCGCCGCGCUUCCCGUGCUCGGUGGAGGACUGCGGCCUGGCGGUGGGGGAGAUGGUCGGCAGCGCGGAUGAACGGGGCUGUGCUCAUAUUUGUCGGCAGCGUGGAGGACGCAGACCUCGUCAUGGAGACGGGGUCGAGGUGAACGACCACUUCUUUCCCGUCUUACCGCUCGCAAGAUCAGCUGUUAAGAUCACGGUGUCACACGUUCCUCCGUUCGUCAGAGACGAGGUGUUAACUAGGGAACUGUCUCGGUACGGUAAGGUGGUCUCUCGGGUUACCAAGGUGUCCUCCGGAUGUAGGUCUCCCCUGUUGAGACACGUGGUGUCUCACAGGAGACAGCUCCUCAUGACUCAGGGAGCUUAACGUUGCGUUGAGUCGACGGGUUUGAUUAUGUUGUUUAUGCGUCGACUGACGACUUCAGGUGUUUUAAGAGAGACAUCAGAGUAAAGUAUGUCCGGAGAGGACAGGGUCUCAGUGUCUCGUCCUGCAGGGUUUUCGACCUUAGGCGGGCCGAUAUGUUAGCUACAUUGGAAAAGUAUGGCCUACCUAAAAGACGAUGAGGGACUGCAGAUGCCAGUGAAUGCUGCGCUGCUCGAAUCUGCGUGGAUGUGGGGGGUUGAGUUGCCAUACCGAGAGUUACCGGAUGGAGAUGGAAUGGGCUCCGUGUUCACCAGGUGUUGAAGGCGAGAUGGUGGUCAUCGAGUUGACCAGUGCCGUGUAGGUGGAGAUGGCCGUGAUACCGCUGGUGGUGGUGAAGUAGCCUACUUUCUCUUAGCCCGCGGAGCUUGUGUUGGUUCUGAUUUUCCGCCCUGGUGCGGGUGGAGGGGAGGGAUAGAGUCGCUUUCCACCGGCUGUGAGCCUUACUGGGACAGAGGGAGGCCCGGUGCUGUGACCACUCCACGCUCUGUAAAUUGAGCCACAAUGGCUUCUUGCUCGUCCGCUGGGGAGCUGCUGCACCUCCUAAGGCGAGUGCUCCUUCCUGGCCGCUCGCUGAGCUGCUAGCCGGCUCCCGUUGACAGUGGAGUCUUGCAAAUGGAUCGAUGUCCAAAUUGGACAUUUUCGCAAACAAAGUCAAUGCUAUCGAAAAGCAAAAUAUAUAACCAUUUGCACCUGGUGGCCCUGAAAUGACAACUGAGCGCAGCGAGAGAACAGUUAACGCUUAACGGUGCCGCCGUCUGCCCGGCCAGUACUUAACCAGCCCGCCCCCAAUCAGCUGACAGCACAGCAGGUAGACAGGUUCAGCUUGUCCUUCCUCCCUCCUUGUUCCUCCCUGUGUACUCCUGUGUACUCCCUGUGUACUCCCCGUGUACUCCCCGUGUACUCCUGUGUACUCCUGUGUACUCCUGUGUACUCCCUGUGUACUCCUGUGUACUCCCUGUGUACUCCCUGUGUACUCCUGUGUACUCCCUGUGUACUCCCUGAAUACUCCUGUGUACUCCCAGUAUACUCCCUGUGUACUCCUUUGUACUCCCUGUGUACCCCCUGUAUACUCCUGUGUACUCUUUAUAAACUCCUUGUGUACUCCCUGUAUACUCCUGUGUACACCCCGUAUAUUCCUGUGUACUCCCCGUGUACUCCCUGUGUACUCCCUGUGUACUCCUGUGUACUCCCCGUGUACUCCUGUGUACUCCCCGUGUACUCCCUGUGUACUCCCUGUGUACUCCUGUGUACUCCCCGUGUACUCC